AAACACAUAGACAAAAUACAUCGUGACUUUUCCGACAACCCAGUAGGAUUGUGAUAUUUCUGAUUGUGUGUGUGCACUGGGAUCGUGGUCUCAUGGAACGGAAGAAUGCAGGCAAGAACCAGAGAGGCUUGAAAGAAACUUUUCUCCUUCCCCACCUGAGUUUGUUACUGUGACCUGUGACUUAAGCCUAUCGUCAGCUAUUAAAAUUAUUUCUCCUGGC